rnacentral:rRNA from 1 species
GGCGCACGGGUGCGUAACGCGUAUACAAUCUACCUUUUACAGAGGGAUAGCCCAGAGAAAUUUGGAUUAAUACCUCAUAGUAUUACGACUCGGCAUCGAGAUGUAAUUAAAGUCACAACGGUAAAAGAUGAGUAUGCGUCCCAUUAGCUAGUUGGUAAGGUAACGGCUUACCAAGGCAACGAUGGGUAGGGGUCCUGAGAGGGAGAUCCCCCACACUGGUACUGAGACACGGACCAGACUCCUACGGGAGGCAGCAGUGAGGAAUAUUGGUCAAUGGGCGCAAGCCUGAACCAGCCAUGCCGCGUGCAGGAUGAAGCAUCUAUGGUGUGUAAACUGCUUUUGUACAGGAAGAAACACUCGGUCGUGACCGAGCUUGGCGGUACUGUAAGAAUAAGGACCGGCUAACUCCGUGCCAGCAGCCGCGGUAAUACGGAGGGUCCAAGCGUUAUCCGGAAUCAUUGGGUUUAAAUGGUCCGUAGGCGGUUUAGUAAGUCAGUGGUGAAAGCCCAUCGCUCAACGGUGGAACGGCCAUUGAUACUGCUAAACUUGAAUUGUUGGGAAGUAACUAGAAUAUGUAGUGUAGCGGUGAAAUGCUUAUAUAUUACAUGGAAUACCAAUUGCGAAGGCAGGUUACUAUCAACACAUUGACGCUGAUGGA